rnacentral:lncRNA from 1 species
ACGGCACCCGGCCAAAUAUUUACUUCUAAGGGUGCUUAUGAUUCAUGUUUGGGGGCAAAUGUAUUACAUAAUUCAUGUGUCAGUACCCCCUUGCAACACAGCAGGAGGCACAUAAUGUCAGAUCUCCUACUAUAAGAAGAUUAAAGAGAUUAACCAGAGGCCUUAUCAUGCAGGCACCUUUUCUUCUUUGUGCUUUUGAACCAUGAAUAAUUUAAAGUGUAUUGUUAAAGUGUAUUGUUUAAUUUUUAAGUAUUUGAAAUUUAUACUUCUUUGGAAGAAAAGUUAAAUAUUAAAUAUGAACUCGAUUGAACGUGGACACAAAGAAAGGUCACCAAGUCCUGGAACAGGUUGUGUGAGCCCCUUGAGGCAUUCAUCCAACACCAUUUCCGAGAAAUCUCUGUUUCAAUCUGUUCCUGUAUGUUAGUUAUUGAAAAACAAGUUGACCUUUUUGUGUUCCUUGAGCCCAGUCAUGAAUGGCCCUUGUGACUGGGCCUCACACCAAACAACUCAUUACACAAAGAGGUAAGGUCCCAGACCACGCCAAAGCUUCCUGAGACCUCUCCUCAUCUGUGCAUGGACGGAUGACCAACUCUGGGGCCCAGGCUGUUGCUUCCCAGUAUAAUGAUGAAUCCGCCAUAGUCUGGUGAGUGUAGAGGCUGACUCUGGAGCCCAGGCUGUACCUUCUCGGUCUGGUGAUGAAUCCUCAAUCGUGUGAUAAAAAAUGAACUAAGGCCAAAUGCGGUGGCUCACGCCUGUAAUCCCAGCACUUUGAGAGGCCGAGGUGGUUGGAUCACGUGAGGUCAGGAUUUCGAGACCAGUCUGGCCAACAUGGUGAAAUCCUGUCUCUACAAAAAUACAAAAAUUAGCCCGGUGUGGUGGCACAUGCCUGCAGUCCCAGCUACUGAGGAGACUGAGGUAGGAGAAUCACUUGAACCCGGGAGGCGGAGGUUGCAGUGAGCUGAGAUCGUGCCACUGCACUCCAGCCUGGGUGACAGAUGGAGACUCCGUCUCGAACAAACAAAAAAAUGAACUAAGGUGAUAAUAUUUUCUGUACAAUGACAUUUUCCUCAAUAAAAUGAAUAGAGAAGAAAAAAAGAAAUAGAUUAAAAUUGUGAACACUAGGUUAAAGGAGAACUUAAAUAUAUAAUAAUCACCAAUACAAGCUGAUAUUCAAUAGAUCUAGACAUUACAUUGAGAAGCUGAGUGCAAAACUAUAAGCCGUUUUUGUAAUAGUUCCUUAUGCACAUAAUGCCAGCUCAUUUGUUGUUGAAAAGAUAUUCAAAAUUAUCCAUAUUACGUAAAGGAAAGAAUGAAUUUAUUCAUGAAUAUAAAUGUACUCAUUUCUUGUGCUGUCUUAAUCUAUACUUUCUCCUGUCAGCAAUAGCAAGCAUGUAUAGGUUUUACUUCGGUCAUCACUCAAAAUGAAUGCAAUCCAAAGCCGUUACUUUGCCACUGAGAGUUAACCUUCAGAGACCUCUUUAUGAGUAGAAGUGUUUUAGGACAGCUAUAGCUUUACCAUUGACCUUUUUCUUUUUAUUUUUGCCUUUAGUUUUUAAUUAUCUGUCAUUUGUUACCUGUGAAUUUGACCUAGGAAAGAAGAUAGGUAGCUAACAUACUCAGAGAAAUGCAAUAUUGUUCCCACUUAAAGAUACUAUAAUAACAGCAUCACAAAAAUAUGCCUGAAGGCUACAUAAAUUCAGCAUCUAUGAACAACGAAAUAAUCUUUCAUUUUUCACAUUGAUUUUGUUUCAAUUUACAACAAAGGACUAACAACAGCAGCUGCAAAACAGUGAUCACACAUAAUGUGAUCUGUAAGCAAAUGUUUAUUCACGAAGUACCCAUUUCUCUUCCGGUGCUCUCCAGCUGACUUGUUGCUCAGCAUGUAGUGUAAUAAUCACCGCAUGGUACACUAGCAGGCAUGCAGCGACCAGCAAUAAGGCAUCUGCUAUGCAUUCAAAAACAAAUAUCAAAUGUAAUUCUCCAGAAAUUUCUUAUGGAUUUUAUGUAGACUAGAGACUAUUUGUAUCUUUUAGGAGACAUCUUUCUUAGAACAAAGGUAUAUACAUGUUUAUUAUUUUGGUGCAUGAACUUUUUCAAAGAUGCUUGCAAACACACACAUGCACAAGUAAAUCCUGAUCUUUCACAAAAUUUGAAAGGCUCAUUGUCCUGUAUAUAAGGAGGCUUUUCUAUUUUGAUUGGGUCUCACAGUAUAAACUCAUCAUAUACAUAUGAGUGUGUAUUUUUCUUCACAUAGCUAACUGAAAUAAAAGUUUUAUGAAACUUUCAAGUGUUAUCUGACAUUUUUAUCCUUUUUCUUUUCUUUUCAAUUUCAUUUAAAAACCCUCUGAUUGUGAUUCACUAAAUUGAUCUCAUAAAACAUUGUCAUGACCCUUUAUUUCAAAAUCACUCCUACAGCAUGUACAACAUAUACAUGUACUGAAACAUCACACUGUUCCCCAUAAACAUGUACAAUUAUUAUGUGUCAGUUAUAAACAAAAUAAAAAGUUUUUCUAUAAAUGUUAUACCACAAUAUUGAAUGUUGAUAUUUGUAUUUACUUCCAACUAAAUGGAAUUACUAUUGUAUUACUUCAGAAUUGUUAAUAGAGACUGUACUAAAUUUGAAAAAUGUGUACUUCUGUGAAUACUCCUAAUUUUUGUAAAUUCUAUAGAAAAUGUGUUGUAUACAGUACUUUUUUAGUUCCUGAAUAUCAUUGUGUAUACUUAAAAACAUUAAAAUGUGGACAAAUUUAUAAGGAAAUUAUUCUUAUCAAUAACUCUAAUCACUAAAAAUUACUUAAUCUUUGAUAUUGGAAAUUCAUCAAGUUUAUUUCUGUGUGAAGUUUAUUUUUGUAGAGCACCACCUGUAUGCUUCUCCUUGGUUAUUUUCAUCAAACUAUGUAAGAGAUAGAAUGAUGUUAGUACAGCUGAUUUAUUGCAGCUCCAUUUUCUUCUUAUCUUUACAUUCACCAGGUCAGACCUAAGGGGCUAAUUGAGAAAACAUUUUCUUCUAGUAAAGUCUAAUUUGGAAGAAAUUCCCAGAGAGAACAAAUCUAAUCUGAAUAUCCAUAAACAGAAAGAUUGUCAAAGAGAGACAAAGAUACAAUAAUUGUUGUGUCCAAGAGGGACAUGCUUCAAGUUCUGAAUGAAUUACAAAAAAAUUUUCCCAAAAAGUAAUACUAACAUGUAGUUCCACAUCAGUGCAUGACUGUAUCUAAUUCACCACUUCAUUGCCAAAAUAAAUAUUAUCUUGUAAUUUAAAUAAAAAAAUUUGUCCAUAUGACUUACAGAAACAAUACAAAAGGGAUCAUGAUAAAAAGCAAUAAUCCUGCCUCAGUCUUCACCACAAGUCCUACUUGUGAGCAAAAAAGAAAAAAAGCCAUCUUUAAUUGCUUCAGGUUUUAACUUUUCUGAUAUGUUAUGCUAUAAACUCAAAUUGUGUUUUGUUAAUAUUUUAAAAUAUGUUAAAAUAUUAGCAUAUUUUGAGUUUAUAGCAUAUCAGAAAUGUUUAUCAUUUUAAACAUGAUCCAUUUAAAUCCCAUUAUCAUGUCUGAAGAUUUAGUUCAUGUACGUAUCUCCACAUUUCCUCACAUUCUCCCUGUCCAGGAAAACUAAGUCAUUAAUAUUAUUUAACUUAUCUAUAGCAAUUAUGACUUAUAUAACUUAAUUAUACCUCUAUUUCUAGACUCUGCACCUUAUAAAAAAGUUUUUAGCAACCCUACUCUUUUUCUUUUCUUUCUACCUGCCAGUUUCUUAUCUAUUUCAAUUUUGUAAAUUGCAUAUAAUAACAAAAACGUAUACGGUGUAAUUUUUUUUCCUGUUGUGCUGAAAUUAUGACUAUGAGUAAAAUCGAGUACAAAAUGCAUUAAAUGUCUCUCAUUCUAAGUUCAAAAUUGUGCUACAAUGGUAUCAAAUUAGCUAAAAAUGCAGUUUAAGACCAGUUUCUCCCCAUGGGGCUUACUGAGUGUCCCAUAACUAGCCUACAUUCUCCAGUUACCCUCCCCCACCUCAUGCCUAGAAAUCAUGAGGGAAAAGAAUGGAUGCAUUACAGUUUUUGAAAUCUGGUGAGAGUGAUAAUUCAAGCAAACCAUUCAUAAAGAUUAGAAUUGCCUGCAGGAAAUGUCCGUUAGUAUUCUGUUACCCAUCUGGAAGUCUGUUGUACUCCUGAUGGUGCUAUGUGGCCUGCCUUCUAACCUCACUACUGAUUGUCAGGUAAGAGGUAUUUGGCAAUCUAGAAUUUGAAGAUAGAAGGGUGAGAACAUUCUGAGAGAAAAAGUGUGUUUUAUAAUGCACAGAUCCUUUCUUGCCAUUAUAAGUCACUUGAAGUUUAGACCAGACUAGGUUGUCUUAGGUUGGGUGGUAGUGUCAGAGGCAUGUCAACCAGAGAAGCUCCAUCUUGAAUAGGGAUUGGGUAAAAUGAGGCUGAGACCUACUGGGGUGCACUCCCGGAUGGUUAAGACAUUCUAAAUCACAGGGUGAGAUAGGAGGUCGGCACCAGAUACAGGUCAUAAAGACCUUGCUGAUAAAACAGGUUGCAGUAAAGAAGCCGGCUAAAACCCACCAAAACCAAGACUGCCAGGAGAGUGACCUCUGGUCUACCUCACGGUUACACUCCCACCAGUGCCAUGGCAGUUUGUAAAUGCCAUGACAACAUCAGGAAAUUACCCUAUAUGGUCUAAAAGGGGGAGACAUGAAUAAUCCACCCUUUGUUUAUUUUAUCAUCUAGAGAUAACCAGGUAGAUGGG